GGGGUUGUGGCUCAGUGGUAAAGCGCUUGCCUAGCAUGCAUGAGGCACUAGGUUCGAUCCCUGCCACUCUA
rnacentral:tRNA from 1 species